GUCGAGGGGAAACGACAUCGAAAGCUUGAUUUGGAGGAGGGGCGACCGGCGCACGGGGGAGAAACGCCUCUCCAACCUGCCCACCACUUGGGGAUAACCUUGCGAAAGUAAAACUAAUACCCAAUGACGUCUCUAGAAAACAUCUGAAGGAGAUUAAAGAUUUAUCGGGGAUGGAUGGGGAUGCGUCUGAUUAGCUUGUUGGCGGGGUAACGGCCCACCAAGGCUACAAUCAGUAGGGGUUCUGAGAGGAAGGCCCCCCACAUUGGAACUGAGACACGGCCCAAACUCCUACGGGAGGCAUUUUUGGGGAAUAUUGGUCAAUGGACAAGAGUCUGAACCACCCAAGUACCGUGCAGGAAGACGGCCCUAUGGGUUGUAAACUGCUUUUAUAAGG
rnacentral:rRNA from 1 species